AAAAGGGCGUUUGGUGGAUGCCUUGGCAGCAAGAGGCGAUGAAGGACGUGAUACUCUGCGAUAAGUCAUGGGGAGCUGAGAAUAAGCUUUGAUCCAUGAAUUUCCGAAUGGGGCAACCCAACUGACAGUGCUCUGAUACUUCCCGCAAGGGCGGCUAUCAGGAUGCUGAACCAGUUAUUCUUUACCUGAAUACAUAGGGUUUAGAAAGCAAACCCGGGGAACUGAAACAUCUAAGUACCCGGAGGAAAGGAAAUCAAUAUGAUACUCCCCUAGUAGCGGCGAGCGAACGGGGACCAGCCGAGCCGUGAGUGUGAUCAGAAUGCGUUGGGAAGCGCAGCCAGAGCGGGUGAUAGCCCCGUAUGAGAAGCAUGAUCGGACGUAUUAAGUAGGGCGGAACACGUGAAAUUCUGUCUGAAGAUCGGAGGACCACCUUCGAAGGCUAAGUACUCCUUGCUGACCGAUAGCGAACCAGUACCGUGAGGGAAAGGUGAAAAGCACCCCGACGAGGGGAGUGAAACAGUACCUGAAACCGGACGCUUACAAUCAGUUGGAGGGCCCUUGAGGCCUGACAGCGUACCUUUUGUAUAAUGGGUCAUCGACUUGGUCUCACGAGCAAGCUUAAGCCGUUAGGUGUAGGCGCAGCGAAAGCGAGUCUUAAUAGGGCGACUUAGUUCGUGGGAUCAGACCCGAAACCGAGUGAUCUAGGCAUGACCAGGAUGAAGGUUAGGUAACACUAACUGGAGGUCCGAACCCACACCUGUUGAAAAAGGUCGGGAUGAGUUGUGCCUAGGGGUGAAAGGCCAAUCAAACUCGGAGAUAGCUGGUUCUCCGCGAAAUCUAUUUAGGUAGAGCGUCAUCCGAAUACCCCGGGGGGUAGAGCACUGGAUGGGUAAUGGGGCCCCACAGGCUUACUGAUCCUAACCAAACUCCGAAUACCCGGGAGUACUAGAUGGCAGACACACGGCGAAUGCUAACGUCCGUCGUGAAGAGGGAAACAACCCUGACCUCCAGCUAAGGCCCCUAAUUCAUGGCUAAGUGGGAAAGCAGGUGGGACGACCAAAACAACCAGGAGGUUGGCUUAGAAGCAGCCAUCCUUUAAAGAUAGCGUAACAGCUCACUGGUCUAAACAAGUUGUCCUGCGGCGAAGAUGUAACGGGGCUCAAGCCAUGAGCCGAAGCUGAGGAUGCACAUAGUGCAUGGUAGCGGAGCGUAGUGUGACAUAGUUCCAUGUCUCUUUUGGUCCUUCGGGGCCUUUGGAGACGCGGUACUUUCGAUGAAGCCCGGGCGUGAGCCAUCGGGUGGAGAGAUCACUAGCGAGAAUGAUGACAUGAGUAGCGACAAACAGGGUGAGAGACCCUGUCGCCGAAAGUCCAAGGGUUCCUGCUUAAAGCUAAUCUGAGCAGGGUAAGCCGACCCCUAAGGCGAGGCCGAAAGGCGUAGUCGAUGGGAACCAGGUUAAUAUUCCUGGGCCAGA
rnacentral:rRNA from 1 species